CUGACUGAGCUAUCCAGGGGCACCAAUUCAUUUCUUAUUUCUAGAAGAAACAGAAAGAAAGAAAAAGAAAGAAAGAAAGAAAGAAAGAAAGAAAGAAAGAAAGAAAGAAAGAAAAGAAAGAAAGAAAAAGAAAGAAAAAGAAGAAAGGAAGAAAGAGAAAGAAGGGAAGGAGGGAGGGAGGAAGGGAGGAAGGAAGAAAGAAAAAGAAAGAGAAAGGAAGAAAGGAAGAAAGAAAGAAAGAAAGAAAGAAAGAAAGAAAGAAAGAAAAAGGAAGGAAGGGUGGGAAAAAAGAAAGAAAGAAAGAAAGAAAGGAAAGAAAGAAGAAAGAAAGGAAAGAAAGAAAGAAAGAAAGAAAGAAAGAAAGAAAGAAAGAAAGAAAAAGAAAGAAAAGAAAGAAGAAAAAGAAAAAAGAAAGAGAAAAAGGCCAAAGCUCCUGGAUCAAAAAUGGCAGCACAGAUGAAAAAAUGCCAGAAAAGCGCCUGGCCAACUGACUUCAACAGCAGCAAAUCCACUGCCUACCCUCCACUCACCCUUCUUUUUUUUAAGGGGGGGAAAAAAAAAGCAGAACCUAAGCAAUGGGGUCUACCGGCAAGAUGUUCGUAACAAAAUCUGCUGACGAGGAGAACAUAAGGAAGGUGCCCCUUCAACAUAUGGCAUUUCAAGGGCUCAAGGGUAUGCUAAAGAAUACUAAAUUGUGUGUAAUGAACUGAACAGAAGCUAAAAUGUGACCUGUGCCUUUUAAACAAAAACAAAAACCUCACCAUGGAGAGUGAACAUAACUAUAACACAUAAAUAAACCAACCUGAGGCCAAGUGGAUUGCCAUUCACAUUGAAGAAAAAAUCAAUUUGCAGUGUAUCAGAGUCCUUUUUAAAUUCUCUCUCUCUCUUUUUUAACAAAAACAAACAUUCCAGGAAAUUACUCUAUACACUGUUAUCUUUCCUUGAAGGAGUCCCUUUGACUAUUCCUUGGGUUGUGAUCAGUUAAUGCUAUGAUGAGUCAAGAAAUCUGCCUUUCCCAAAACAACUCCUGGUGCUCUAAGGUUACUGAAUGCUUUCCCCUGGGUUCUAAGUUUAGAGACAAAGCUAAGUCCUAAAAUGACUAGACUGAGAGGCAUUGAGAUAAUGCAGAAUAUGAGGGAGUGAAGCUGGGAUACUGAGUAUCACCCGGUCACCGGCCUGCGUGCAUCUCAAGGGCCACACCAUCCCACACUAUCCAGAGCGGCAGGCCAGCAGCCUCUGCUCUGGGACUUUCCCUGAAGCCAAGACCCAGAUUACUAUGAGACCCAGGACUCGGAGUUGUCACACACCCAGGACAAAGCAGAAUCCUGAGAGCCCUGACCCAUUAAUUCUGUUGCAUCUGUGCAGCUGCCAAACCCGCCGUCCCUGAGACCCUUGAUGUCCUUGAUGUGUGCCCAAGAGGGAAGGCCUUUCAGGGGGUGAUAACCUCUAUGAACUCUCAUUCUCAUACUUGAUUCAGCUUCCUCCUAAAUUUUUCCUCUGUGACCUCAGGAAUCCCAUUCCAUCAUCAGCAAAGACCCCGAUACUCCCAAUAUCUUCACUGGACAUUCUUUAGCUUUCGAGCCCUAACGUGGCUUUCCCUGCAAGCACAAUGCUUCCCUGCAGCCCUCACAAGUAGAGGCUACUGAGCCAGGUUCCUUCUGUCAAACACUGUCAUUUCCAUGGGUCUCAGUUCUCUGCCCUCUGAGAAUCAGACUGCAUACCUAGCCAUCAGGUCACACUCUCUACCUCAGCUGUCAUACACUGACUGCCUAGCCAUGUCCUUUAUUGAUCAGAGACAUUAGCAAUGAAUCCCAGUAUCCCUUUUCAUUCCAAAUUCCGCCAGCAGUCUGGCACAUGUACUAUGUGUGUGAGGCAUACUCAGUCUCUCUCAGUUCCUUGAUUCCAUCUCUGAUUGCUCUCUCUAUUCUGUUUCAAUCACCCAAUCCCAUUGCCACCCCAGGCUCGCUCAUCAAGAAACCACAGCUCCUCUGAACUCAUGACUCUCUAUUCCUCUACUUCUUCUCCUGUGGUUAUUUUUACUCUAUUGAUUUUCCAAGCUUAUUAGGAAUUCUGUUUUAUUCUUUCUCCUUAUCUGUCCUCCAUUUGCUGGCUCCUUUUCCUUCUCUAUCCAGAAAAGAUUCCAUGCUUUCUAAUGUUAGCCUCUGACAACAUGGCCCCAGCUCCAUUGCUCCUGACAAAACUUGAAUCUAGUUGUUUGCCUUGGCCAUUCCUUUGCCUGGGCUGCUGGACACUGCUGGCAAAAACCGCAUGGUCACACAGACUGGGCUGCCCGAAAUUCAGGCUCAGCAACCUCAAGUGGGACUUAGUAGUGCCUGCCAUCCUACCACAUUCCCCUGACCUGCUUGCUCUUUCUUUCUGAGUCACCAGAGCAGCUAUUUCGAGAAUUCCACUCUCUUUCCAAACCUCCAAGCUUGCCUUCUUUACUCUUCUCUGCAGGUGGUUUUAUUUUCCACGUGUCAGGGGGAUGAAAUAGAAGUUAUAAGAUGUGAGCAGUCCCAGGUUUCCAUGCCAGCCUAUCAGCUUGCAUCUUUCCCCACCUUGCCUCUUUCCUCAACCUCACCUCUUUACAAAAGACGUUCCCUCCUUCCUCUUGGCCCAUGCUCUGGGUCCCCUGUCCUCCUGACUUCUCAUUCACCUCACUCUUCGUUAUUCUUUCUCGCUCUUAUCUAUAUAUUCAACCUCUUCCUCUCUACUGGUUCCUUCCUCCUCAGGUUAAAAAAAAGCCACAUUCCCCCUCCAUCUACAGCCUGCCCACUCCUUGCCAGCUAAACUUCUUGGAAAAUUUACCUCCACUCACUGUUUCAACUUCCUCACUUUCCAGUCACUCUCCCAAUCUGCUUUCUCCAAAAUAACCAGUGAUCUCCCUUAACUACACUCAAGGGACACCUGUCAGUUCUUUCUUCGUUUGACAUUUGACAGGUCCUCCUUUUGAUACUUUCUCUUUCCUGGGCAUCUAUGACAUCAUCUACAUGCUCCCAGAUAUCUCUCCAGCCCAGACCUUUCUCUUGAGCUUCAGACCCAGAUGGCUACCUUUUAGCCAUCUCCACCUGUAUGUUCCAAGGCAUCUUAAAGUGAACUCAUUUCCUCUUCAACCAUGUACCUCUUCCUGAAUUUCCCCUAUGAGUGGUAAGCACUACCCUGGACUCAUUGAUGCAGCCAGAAACUUGUGUAUCAUCCCUGACUGCUUGGUGGAGAGAGGAUGUAUGUCCAUGUAUGAUUGGCUGCAUGGUGUGAUGGAGUGUGAGCUCUUCAUCUAGUCUCAUCUGGAUGAUUUGAAUGUUGGCAUGAACUGCUUGCUAAUGCCACUGUUGUCUACUCUGUCAGCCCAGCAGGGCCCAGUGUGCCCUCUAGGUUUUUGACCCUGCUGGCUCUGAUGGGUGGUGAUGGGCUAGCUGGGUGUACAUGCAGGUCCCAUGUAGCUUCAUCUUGCAGAGGGUCAAUCACAUUCUGCACAACCCCAGCAAACAAUCCAGAAUCUCUUCCUCUUGUCCAGCACAUCCCUUCCACAUCAGGUCCACUCGUAGCACAGACAGGAAAAAUCAAUUCAUAUUUACACGUGUAACUUGUUUAAUCUUAUUAAUCACAUGUGUGGAAUUGCAUUAAUCUCAAACAAUAGAAAAAUUAUUUAAUCUUUCUCAAUUUCAGUUUAAUCUCUGGAUUAAAGAACAGAGCCCUUUGUAUUUCAUUUUUAUAAUGUAGAGUCUGGGUAUCUCUCAGCAUCAGAUUAUCUCCAC
ensembl:lncRNA